AUAAAAAAGUAAUCUUCUACCAAAAUUACAAG
rnacentral:piRNA from 1 species